rnacentral:rRNA from 1 species
UUUUAUUUGAGAGUUUGAUCCUGGCUCAGGAUGAACGCUGGCGGCGUGCCUAACACAUGCAAGUUGAGCGAUUUACUUCGGUAAAGAGCGGCGGACGGGUGAGUAACGCGUGGGUAACCUACCCUGUACACACGGAUAACAUACCGAAAGGUAUGCUAAUACGGGAUAAUAUAUUUGAGAGGCAUCUCUUGAAUAUCAAAGGUGAGCCAGUACAGGAUGGACCCGCGUCUGAUUAGCUAGUUGGUAAGGUAACGGCUUACCAAGGCGACGAUCAGUAGCCGACCUGAGAGGGUGAUCGGCCACAUUGGAACUGAGACACGGUCCAAACUCCUACGGGAGGCAGCAGUGGGG